rnacentral:rRNA from 1 species
UACGAAGGGAGCUAGCGUUGUUCGGAAUCACUGGGCGUAAAGCGCACGUAGGCGGAUGUGUCAGUCAGGGGUGAAAUCCCGGAGCUCAACUUCGGAACUGCCCUUGAUACAGCACGUCUUGAGUCCGGAAGAGGUGGGUGGAAUUCCUAGUGUAGAGGUGAAAUUCGUAGAUAUGGGAAGAACACCGGUGGCGAAGGCGGCGACCUGGUCCUUGACUGACGCUGAGGCGCGAAAGCGUGGGGAGCAAACAGGAUUGAGAAACCCC